AAAGAGGAGUGGCGAACGGGUGAGUAACACGUGGGUAACCUGCCCAUCAGAAGGGGAUAACACUUGGAAACAGGUGCUAAUACCGUAUAACAAUCGAAACCGCAUGGUUUUGAUUUGAAAGGCGCUUUCGGGUGUCGCUGAUGGAUGGACCCGCGGUGCAUUAGCUAGUUGGUGAGGUAACGGCUCACCAAGGCCACGAUGCAUAGCCGACCUGAGAGGGUGAUCGGCCACAUUGGGACUGAGACACGGCCCAAACUCCUACGGGAGGCAGCAGUAGGGAAUCUUCGGCAAUGGACGAAAGUCUGACCGAGCAACGCCGCGUGAGUGAAGAAGGUUUUCGGAUCGUAAAACUCUGUUGUUAGAGAAGAACAAGGAUGAGAGUAACUGUUCAUCCCUUGACGGUAUCUAACCAGAAAGCCACGGCUAACUACGUGCCAGCAGCCGCGGUAAUACGUAGGUGGCAAGCGUUGUCCGGAUUUAUUGGGCGUAAAGCGAGCGCAAGCGGUUUCUUAAGUCUGAUGUGAAAGCCCCCGGCUCAACCGGGGAGGGUCAUUGGAAACUGGGAGACUUGAGUGCAGAAGAGGAGAGUGGAAUUCCAUGUGUAGCGGUGAAAUGCGUAGAUAUAUGGAGGAACACCAGUGGCGAAGGCGGCUC
rnacentral:rRNA from 1 species